CGCUGGCGGCGUGCCUAAUACAUGCAAGUCGAACGGUCUUUCUAUGGAAGCUUGCUUCCACUGAGAAGAUAGUGGCGAACGGGUGAGUAACACGUGGGUAACCUGCCCAUAAGAGGGGGAUAACAUCCGGAAACGGGUGCUAAUACCGCAUAGUUUUCUUGAUCGCAUGAUUGAGAAAGGAAAGACGGCCUUUGUGCUGUCGCUUAUGGAUGGACCCGCGGCGUAUUAGUUAGUUGGUGAGGUAAUGGCUCACCAAGACGAUGAUACGUAGCCGACCUGAGAGGGUGAUCGGCCACAUUGGGACUGAGACACGGCCCAAACUCCUACGGGAGGCAGCAGUAGGGAAUCUUCCGCAAUGGACGAAAGUCUGACGGAGCAACGCCGCGUGAGUGAAGAAAAGGUUUUCGGAUCGUAAAACUCUGUUGUCAGAGAAGAACAAGUUGGAGAGUAACUGCUCCAGCCUUGACGGUAUCUGACCAGAAAGCCACGGCUAACUACGUGCCAGCCGCCGC
rnacentral:rRNA from 1 species